rnacentral:rRNA from 1 species
GACGAACCGUGCGAACGUUGUUCGGAUUCACUGGGCUUAAAGGGCGCGUAGGCGGUCGACCAAGUCUGGGGUGAAAUCUUUCGGCUUAACCGGAAAAGUGCCCCCGAUACUGGCCGGCUAGAGGGAGAUAGGGGCAUGUGGAACUUCCGGUGGAGCGGUGAAAUGCGUAGAUAUUGGGAAGAACACCGGUGGCGAAGGCGGCUAUCUGGCCCGUAAUUGACGCUGAGGCGCGAAAGCGUGGGGAGCAAACAGG